rnacentral:lncRNA from 1 species
AAUGGUCUUGAACACUCCACCACAAGCCGGUAGGAUUUGUUCUUCGAUUCUUCAAUUAAGCAGUAAAAUAAAUCAAGGAAAUAAAACUCGAAUAUAACGUAAGGUUAAUCCGGUAUAAAGUUGCACAGUAGUUUCCGGUGUAGAAACUAUUACGCGAAAAAAUAUCUAAAAGCUAAAAACGGAAAAAAUAAAUUGCAAGGGAAAAGAGAAAGUAAAGCUUGCAAAAG